UACGAAGGGGCUAGCGUUGUUCGGAAUUACUGGGCGUAAAGCGCACGUAGGCGGACAUUUUAAGUCAGGGGUGAAAUCCCAGAGCUCAACUCUGGAACUGCCUUUGAUACUGGGUGUCUUGAGUAUGGAAGAGGUGAGUGGAAUUCCGAGUGUAGAGGUGAAAUUCGUAGAUAUUCGGAGGAACACCAGUGGCGAAGGCGGCUCACUGGCCCGAUACUGACGCUGAGGUGCGAAAGCGUGGGGAGCAAACAGG
rnacentral:rRNA from 1 species